UACGUAGGGUGCGAGCGUUAAUCGGAAUUACUGGGCGUAAAGCGUGCGCAGGCGGUUCGUUAUGUCCGUUGUGAAAGCCCCGGGCUCAACCUGGGAAUGGCAAUGGAAACUGGCGGGCUAGAGUGUGGCAGAGGGGGGUGGAAUUCCGCGUGUAGCAGUGAAAUGUGUUGAUAUUGGCAGGAACACCGGAGCCGAAAGGGAAGCACUGGGGCUUAACUGACACUGAGGCACGAAAGCCAGGGGAGCAAACGGG
rnacentral:rRNA from 1 species